rnacentral:rRNA from 1 species
UACAGGGGGGGGCAAGCGUUGUUCGGAAUUACUGGGCGUAAAGGGUUCGUAGGUGGCCACUUAAGUCAGACGUGAAAUCCCUCAGCUUAACUGGGGAACUGCGUCUGAUACUGAGUGGCUUGAGUGCAGGAGAGGGAUGCGGAAUUCCAGGUGUAGCGGUGAAAUGCGUAGAUAUCUGGAGGAACACCGGUGGCGAAGGCGGCAUCCUGGACCACGACUGACGCUGAGUGAGCGAAAGCCAGGGGAGCAAAGCGGG